UACGUAGGGUGCGAGCGUUAAUCGGAAUUACUGGGCGUAAAGCGUGCGCAGGCGGUGAUGUAAGUCAGGUGUGAAAUCCCCGGGCUUAACCUGGGAACUGCAUUUGUGACUGCAUCGCUGGAGUGCGGCAGAGGGGGAUGGAAUUCCGCGUGUAGCAGUGAAAUGCGUAGAUAUGCGGAGGAACACCGAUGGCGAAGGCAAUCCCCUGGGCCUGCACUGACGCUCAUGCACGAAAGCGUGGGGAGCAAACAGG
rnacentral:rRNA from 1 species